UAGGAAAUGGUGUAAUGGAAACACUUGGAGUUUUGAUCUCCACAAUUUGGGUUCAAAUCCCCCUUUUCUAA
rnacentral:tRNA from 1 species